rfam:Schistosoma haematobium scaffold1300_7, whole genome shotgun sequence.
AGCUUUCUAAAUACGUGCCGAGAUUAAGUCAGACAGCAGACCAUCAGUACUGAUGAGACUCGCAAGGUAAGUGAAUCG